UCUCUCCUUUACUUUCUCACACACAUUUACAAAUCCCCCAUAUAACUUUCAAUCAAACCAAUGGCGCUCAGCUGGAAAGAUUGGUGCCUUGAAGUUGGAUUGGAAGAAGACAACAAGUAGAGAAAUAUGCUAUGACCGGAAAAUUGAAGAAAGUUUGUUUAUACACUUAAAUGAAAGGGAGACUAGAAUAGUUGUCAGAUAAUCCGCCACAAAAUGUUCUUUAAUGUUGAAAUUAGGUGUAUGGUUUUUGUAUAGUUUGGAUUUUAUUGUGUUAUUUGAAUAAGUUGGUAUUUUAAUUUGAUUGUUUGUAUAUUAAGUAAAGUUGGUUUUUUAUAUUUAUUAAAGAUUUGAGUAUAAUGAUU
rnacentral:lncRNA from 1 species